CCAGGAUACGGCGGGGAGGAGCUCAACCUUUGUGAUGCUGCUGCUGCCUGAGCCUACACCCACUCCAGAUGAAUUAUGGGAAAGCUGGGAGCCGAGAGGGGGAAGCAGCGGUGGCACAUGUUGCAGAGAGAAGGGUGGAAGCUUUUCAUGCAGCGGUGUCGGUCAUGUCCCAGGGGAGGCUUCCGCUGGCCGUGAGACAAAUCCACGACGUCACGUGUCAUUCCCACAUGAGCUCGUGUUGAAUGUCAGCAGGUAAUAACAGCACAUUCUUACACGCGCAGUUUAAAAAUAGGCGAACCCCAGCGACAGUUACCAGGGCACAGAAAAUGCUCCAAUAAAGCAAAAGUGAAGGUUUAAAUUUGAAGUGUGAGUGAGUGGUAGCAGCUCUUCAUUGCUCCUCUUCUUCUAUUUUCACACUUUCCUAUCUUGCCUUUCUUGAUUCAGUCGUCUCCGUUUGUUCAUUGUAAGUAAAUGCAACAUGGGGCUUAAAACAUGUACAUGUGCUUUUCUUAAUGGAAAAUAAUAAUAUCAUGCUUCGAUAUAGAUGCCUGGGAGCUCACACCUCCUACACUCCUCUGUUUUUCACAUUUCUCCCUUUCAUGUUCCUCUGACAACCCCACUCUCCACACAAUAAUGUUGGUGAUGCAUAUUGGAUUUAUUUUGCGUCUCUGCUGCUCUUUUCCUUUCCCAUAUUUCUAUUCUCAGUCUUUCCCCUUUGUGUGUGUGCUUCACGCUGGUGCUUUUCAUUCCACCUCCUCCUGAACCUCUCCAUCACUGCAUGGUUCAUGAAGGGCUUUAUUUUGUCUAGCCACACGCCGGGCGAGUUUGUUAUAUAAUCACCCAACUUUGAUCAAUUCUCCUUUUUGGUUAAUGAACACAUACUAAAAGAUUCUUUUUCAGCCAAAAAGCUUGUCACUGUAAGUGACUCACCUUUAGUGUUUAUUUUCGCAUCACUAUGGAAACCGGGCCUUGUAUUGACCUGAGGAUGGAACCCAUAACAUAACUGCCGCUGUUUCUCUUCCAUUAUUCAGUGCUGCACUGAUGUAUUUUUAAAGACAGUGUUCUUAUCUGCACUGAAACCACAGCUCUCUCGCUGUUUAUUAGCAGAAAUACAAGCUCUCAGACGUAACCCUGAAGAACAGCAUGGCCCUGGUUUGGCGAGCGCCACAACUGGCCUGCAUGUUUGCAUGUUUGCAUGUUUGCAUGGGCAUGUGCUCCUCCGUCUGGUGUCACCCGGCAGCCGGUCCAGCGCAUGGCCAGCGAAGGCAGGCAGCUGAGCCCAUCUGAUAAGACACAUCAGGCAGCCUCUAAUUCCAGAAAUAUCAUUUGUGCCUUGAGCUGUCACUAAUCCGAGGAUGGCCUGGAAAACGGUAGUAGAUAUGAGCUGCGUUCUCUGAGUCCGCUACUCCAAACUCCCACGUCUUCCUCCUCCUUCUCCCCUCUUGCCUUCUCCAGCUUCUGCUUGUCAUUGUCCUCGGCUUUGCUUUGCCUCUCUCAGCUCUUCACCUGUGCAUAAGGUUCUGGUUGAGCGGUUGCCCUGGAGUGACACUCAGGUGCAUUAAUCCCACGUACGGACAAGCACUCAGCCGAAUGUUGCAAAUGGAAUAAAUUGAAAGGCAAUUAGUCCACAUUAAAUGGUCUGAGUCCCCUGCAUUUACCUUCAUUAUUAAAGUCUACAUAAUGUGCAAGAAAAGGUUAAACGUGAACAUGACAUGUGUUUCAUUAACAGUGUUAUUUAAAUGAUGUUAAAUUGAAAAAAUGAAAAAUAACUUUAUUCUGUUUAAAUUUGGUAAAUAUUACACCCUGAGAUAAAGAUGCUGCAACACUUUAUGAAAUUUUAUUUCAUAUUUUUUUUUUUUUUAUGUAAAAUAUGAGCUGCCUCUGCUGCAGACCGUCUGCCAGUAAGGUUUUAGGCUACAGUUGUUUCAUGUUGACCAUCGGCGACAAGGAAAAAGAGCCGAGUGCCUUUGAAGAGUGAAAAAAGCCAAUUUCCCAGGGUUCAACACAAGCGGCUUUUUUUAGGUUGAAACUUCACAAAGUUUCACACUGAAGACCCCAUAAGUUUCACACACAAAUAAGUUGAAUGAAUAAUAAUCCACUGUGCACUCAUCCGACCCAAAGAGACGACUGAAGCAUUUUUACAUGUCAUCAUCAUCAGCAAGAACUUUAUUUCAUGCCAGAAAACAUCCACAUAACAUUUUAUACUCUUCAUAAAAGAAAUGAUAAACACUUGAAUAAGUGAACACAUUCAUCUCUCACAUUGUCACAUUGCCAGAUAUACGACAGUUACUUCUGUUUUCAUUAAUGUACAUGAUCCUAGUGAAUCUCAUUUAAAUGUUCUAAUGCUCAAAAUAUAAUCUUGUAUUUAUGUGUAUUGUUUAUGCACUGAAAAUGCUAAAUAAUGGCUUUUAGGUUUUAAUACUAGAUUAACACUUCAGGCAAACUAAGUAAUUAUUUGGUACAUUGUAGUCCUGUUAAUGUCUCACUACACUUGAGGGCAACUCUUGGCUCAUUGCACAGUAACAGCAGUUGAUUCUACGUUUUCCAUCGACUACCUAAAAUAAAUAUCUGCUCUUCACAAUAA